UACGUAGGGGGCGAGCGUUGUCCGGAUUUAUUGGGCGUAAAGAGCUCGUAGGCGGUUUGGCAAGUCGGGUGUGAAAACUCCGGGCUCAACUCGGAGACGCCACUCGAUACUGCUAUGACUCGAGUCCGGUAGGGGAGUGCGGAAUUCCUGGUGUAGCGGUGAAAUGCGCAGAUAUCAGGAGGAACACCGGUGGCGAAGGCAGGUCUCUGGGCCACUACUGACGCUGAGAAGCGAAAGCAUGGGGAGCGAACAGG
rnacentral:rRNA from 1 species